CUCGUGGGAGGGGGAGCACAGGUGAGCAGGUACAGGAGGAGCUGGGGAAGCACUCUUGGGCACAUGCAGGAGUGAAUUCCGUACCGGCCCCACAGCAGCAUCAGCGGGGCGGGGGUGCCCACGACCCCCGAAGCCCCAGAGGAACUGUCACAGUACUCUUUUAGCUCUGCCCUCUGUGGAUGGCUUAAGUGUUAACAGCUCAGUGGACCCUAUGUCUUUUAGCAUAAGGCGGCUACCUUCUGCCAGCGAGGGCAAAGGGUCAGUGUGGCAGCCUUUUGCCUCCACACUCACUGCACCUGAGCUGUUGUCAAGCAUCCAGGAGAAAUGAAGUAGCACAAACGAAUUGGAGGAUGGUAAAUGUGGGGGAUUUUAUUGCUGUUGGACGUGGCUCUCAGAGGGAAGAGGAGCUGAAAAGCAGACAGAGAAGGAAGAGACACGGACACUUCGGAAAGCGUUCUGCGGACAGUUAUCAAGAUGAUGAAUUGCAGUGAACACCAAGACACAAAAGCAAAGACUUGGAACCAACCGAAACAUCCAUCAAUGAUAGACUGAAUAAAGAAAAUGUGGCACAUAUACACCACGGAAUACUUUGCAGCCAAAAAAAAGGACGAGUUUAUGUCCUUUGCAGGGACAUUAAUGAAGUUGGAAACCAUCAUUCUCAUCAAACUAACAGAAGAACAGAAAACUAAACACCGCAUGUUCUCAUUCAUAAGUGGAAGUUCAACCAUGAGAACACACGGACACAAGGAGGGGAAUAUCACACACCGGGGCCUAUCGGGGGGUGGCAGGCUUGGGGAGGGAGAGCAUUAGGGGAAAUACCUAAUAUAGAUGACGGGUUGAUGGGAGCAGCAAACCACCAUGGCACGUGUAUACCUAUGUAACAAACCUGUAUGUUCUGCACAUGUAUUCCAAAACUUUAAAUGUAAUAAAACAAUUUAAAAAUGUGUUCAAU
rnacentral:lncRNA from 1 species